AGCGAACGCUGGCGGCAGGCCUAACACAUGCAAGUCGAGCGCGUGUAGCAAUACACGAGCGGCAGACGGGAGAGUAACACGUGGGAACGUACCCUUCGGUUCGGAAUAACCCAGGGAAACUUGGACUAAUACCGGAUUCGUCCGAAAGGAGAAAGAUUUAUCGCCGAAGGAUCGGCCCGCGGCUGAUUAGCUAGUUGGUGAGGUAACGGCUCACCAAGGCGACGAUCGGUAGCUGGUCUGAGAGGAUGAUCAGCCUCACUGGGACUGAGACACGGCCCAGACUCCUACGGGAGGCAGCAGUGGGGAAUAUUGGACAAUGGGCGCAAGCCUGAUCCAGCCAUGCCGCGUGGGUGAUGAAGGCCCUAGGGUUGUAAAGCCCUUUCGGCGGGGAAGAUAAUGACGGUACCCGCAGAAGAAGCCCCGGCUAACUUCGUGCCAGCCGCCGCGGUAAUAC
rnacentral:rRNA from 1 species